GUGGAUCAAGGGUUGGACCUGAUGAUCUCAGAGGUCCCUUCCAACCCGGAUGAUUCUAUGAUUCUAUGAUUCUAUGAUUCUAUGAUUCUAUGAUCAUGCUCAGGGUUUUUAGCUGGAGUUGACAAGUCACCUUUUACUGUCUCUAUCUCAUUUCAAGACCUCUCUUGAGGUAGACCAGCUUUGAAGCCUCUUUAUUUUCUCAAGAAUCCUGCAUGUAACUUCCACUGAAGUUCUCGGGAUUUGGCCUUUCAGUCUUCAGAAAAAAUAAAUUAUAGGUAUGUUGCAGAAGUGUAAUCCCACUUGAUAGGUAUGCAAGACCUAAGCACGGUCCUGAUCUCUCCUGAAACUAUACCUCUGUCUUCAAGCAUCGCCAUGAAUUUUGGAUUGUCAGCUGAAAAGUCAAACAGAAAACCAGCAGUUGCAGUCCAGAGGCAAUAUUUCAUUGAAGGAAGAACCAGAUGAAAAAAGAAAAUAAGAAAUCAGGAAGGAAUGCAUUCCAUUCCAAAAGCAAGGGGUUUUUGUCCUCUUUAACUUUAGUGAAGACAGCAUCAUUACAUUGGAACAUGCAACACACACCUCUUUCUGGAGGACUCCCAGUUAGAUUAUCUGAAAAUUUUUGAAAUUUAAUUUAAAUUAAUGACUGUGUGAGUAAAGAAAAUUCAGGUUCAAUA